AUUCAAAAAAAUUUAAUCUUAAUAAAAUAUUGAAGUAUAUGUAUAUAUAUCAUAAUAUUAAGACAACUUUCAACAACGGAUCUCUUGGCUCUUGCAUCGAUGAAGAACGCAGCGAAAUGCGAUAAGUAAUGUGAAUUGCAGAAUUCCGUGAAUCAUCAAAUCUUUGAACGCAAAUUGCACUCUUUGGUAUUCCGAGGAGUAUGCUUGCUUGAGGGUUGUUCAAAUAAAUCGUAAAUUUUUUUGCGGACCUGAGUUUUCCAAAGUUUUAAAAUUUUGGUAACUUUAAAUUUAUCUUAACGAUACUUUUAAAGGUAUUAUAUUGGAAAUGUGAUAUCUUGCAUAUUGCGAGUUCAUUGACAAUUAUUUUACCAAUCGUUAUUCGUAUUAUUUACCUAAUACCUUUAUUGGGUUAAGUGAUACAUUUUUAUCUUUUCAACACCUCAAGUCAAGUAAGAUUACCCGCUGAACUUAAGCAUAUCAAUAAGCGGAGGAAAAGAAACUAACAAGGAUUCCCUUAGUAACGGCGAGUGAAGUGGGAAUAGCUCAAAUUUUAAAUCGCCAAGGUUUUCUUUGGUGAGUUGUAAUUUGAAGAAAGUGUUUGGAUGUUCUGGUUUGA
rnacentral:rRNA from 1 species